rnacentral:rRNA from 1 species
CUAAGAAUAUUCCGCAAUGGACGAAAGUCUGACGGAGCGACGCCGCGUGGAUGACGAAGGCCGAAAGGUUGUAAAAUCCUUUUGUCGAGGAAGAAUAAGCUGGGGAGGGAAUGCCCUGGUGAUGACAUGAAUCGAUGAAUAAGCCCCGGCUAACUACGUGCCAGCAGCCGCGGUAACACGUAGGGGGCGAGCGUCGUUCGGAAUUACUGGGCGUAAAGGGCAUGUAGGCGGUUCGAUAAGCCUGGCGUGAAAUGCUGCAGCUUAACUGCAGCACUGCGUUGGGAACUGUCGGACUAGAGUUACGGAGAGGAAGCUGGAAUUCCAGGUGUAGGGGUGAAAUCUGUAGAUAUCUGGAAGAACACCAAAGGCGAAGGCAAGCUUCUGGCCGAUAACUGACGCUGAGGUGCGAAAGUGUGGGGAUCAAACAG